UAAAUAUAAAUACGGAAUGGUGCAGUAUCCUAGUCAAUCCUCCAUUUCUGAAGGCGGGCCUAAAAAUCCGCCAAAGGGCACAUCGAUGAAGUUCCUUGUGUUGGCUUGAGGCGCCCAGCCUUGGGUCGAUGCUGGGAGUUAAGGUUGAAGGGCGAUCCACAAAGGCAUGUGGGCGAAGACCCUUCUUCCGCGGAGGCCCAUCUCUGUUUUUGUCACUUAGCCAAGGGGCGAGAAUGGAAUGGGGUAUGAACCUGCUUUAACAAGGAUCGGGAUCUUUGUGAGCAGCGUAGCCUGCCUUGAGUGGUACGAAGGGGAUUACAGGCAAUAAAGUGUUCUGAUUAGGUGGCCACUAAUCAGGACAUGUUUUUCUGUAUGAAAUUCGUACUGCAAAAGAGGCUAGGAAAUGGUUAAAGGUUGUUGAGGAAAUCUCCUAGGCUGUUCUGUUCAAGACAUUUAUGCGGGAUUAUAGUGUGGACUAAGUGGUAAUCCAGUCUAGCUGUUGGUGACAACGCUAAGACAGAUUUAAAGGGGAACCGCCAGAAUGGCAACAUUCGGUAUCUGUCUGGGAAAACCUACUGGACCUAAGCCGCAGUUUUUACUGCAUAAAUGACCAUUCCAUUAUUAAUACAU
rnacentral:sRNA from 1 species